ncrna:unclassified sequences NiCo riboswitch
ACAGUACAAACUGAGCAGGCAGCGAACCAAGGUUCAUAGCCGGGCCGGAUAAGGCAACAGAUGAAUGACAGCAUCUGUGGGACAGUA